CGAUUACGGGAGGCAGCAGUGGGGAAUAUUGGACAAUGGGGGAAACCCUGAUCCAGCAACGCCGCGUGAGUGAAGAAGUAUUUCGGAUUGUAAAGUGCUUUCAGCAGGGAAGAAAAAAAUGACGGUACCUGCAGAAGAAGCGACGGCUAAAUACGUGCCAGCAGCCGCGGUAAUAUCG
rnacentral:rRNA from 1 species